UACGUAGGGGGCGAGCGUUGUCCGGAGUUACUGGGCGUAAAGCGCACGCAGGCGGUCUGCUAAGUUUGGAGUGACAGUUGGUGGCUCAACCACCAAAGUGCUUUGAAAACUGACAGACUUGAGGGCUUCAGAGGGACACGGAAUUCCGGGUGGAGUGGUGAAAUGCGUAGAGAUCCGGAGGAACACCGGAAGGCGAAGGCAGUGUCCUGGGGAGUACCUGACGCUCGAGGUGACGAAAGCUAGGGGAGCGAACGGG
rnacentral:rRNA from 1 species